CUGGAUCUGAACACGAACACAAGGGAGGGGAAAGACAUUUACACAACUGUUAGUGACCACAGAGGCACUGGGUGGCUGAUAUAUCUGACCCACCCACCCAGUGCCCUGGGGGCCCAAGAACAAGCCUGGGCUCCAUCACAAGGACCAGCCUGGGCUCCAUCAUCUCAGUCGUGGGUUCAGGGUUCUCUUUCUCCUUCUGCCCUUAGAAAUGAUAGGGAUGCAACCAGACAGGUGAAAGGCAGCUGCUACACAGGAGAGCCAUCUUGACAGCAUGAGGCCUGGGGUUCAUUCAGUCAUGGUCCCAGGAGUCACUGGGUGGUCCUUUCAGAAUAUGCAUGCUUAGUGUAGAACAGGAGAGUAUACUGAAGGGGAGGGGGUCAUGUUGUGAGGCUAGAAGUGUCAAUGUGAAGUUAAUGGAGUGAAAGAGGUG
rnacentral:lncRNA from 1 species